rnacentral:rRNA from 1 species
ACUGAACGCUGGCGGCAGGCCUAACACAUGCAAGUCGAGCGGAUGAGAAGAGCUUGCUCUUCGAUUCAGCGGCGGACGGGUGAGUAAUGCCUAGGAAUCUGCCUGGUAGUGGGGGACAACGUUUCGAAAGGAACGCUAAUACCGCAUACGUCCUACGGGAGAAAGCAGGGGACCUUCGGGCCUUGCGCUAUCAGAUGAGCCUAGGUCGGAUUAGCUAGUUGGUGAGGUAAUGGCUCACCAAGGCGACGAUCCGUAACUGGUCUGAGAGGAUGAGCGGUCACACUGGAACUGAGACACGGUCCAGACUCCUACGGGAGGCAGCAGUGGGGAAUAUUGGACAAUGGGCGAAGGCCUGAUCCAGCCAUGCCGCGUGUGUGAAGAAGGUCUUCGGAUUGUAAAGCACUUUAAGUUGGGAGGAAGGGCAGUAAGUUAAUACCUUGCUGUUUUGACGUUACCGACGGAAUAAGCACCGGCUAACUCUGUGCCAGCCGCCGCCGUAAUAC